GGAAUUGACGGGGCCCGCACAAGCGGAGGAACAUGUGGUUUAAUUCGAUGAUACGCGAGGAACCUUACCUGGGCUUAAAUGGGGAGUGACAGCUGUCGAAAGAUGGUUUUCUUCGGACACUCUUCAAGGUGCUGCAUGGUUGUCGUCAGCUCGUGCCGUGAGGUGUCGGGUUAAGUCCCAUAACGAGCGCAACCCUUACCGUUAGUUACCAUCAGGUUAAGCUGGGGACUCUAGCGGGACUGCCACCGUAAGGUGAGAGGAAGUGGGGAUGACGUCAAAUCAGCACGGCCCUUAUGUCCAGGGCUACGCACGUGUUACAAUGGCCAGUACAAAGGGCAGCUACCGGGUGACCGGAUGCUAAUCUCUAAAGCUGGUCUCAGUUCGGAUCGAAGUCUGCAACCCGACUUCGUGAAGCUGGAUUCGCUAGUAAUCGCGCAUCAGCCAUGGCGCGGUGAAUACGUUCCCGGGCCUU
rnacentral:rRNA from 1 species